AUUGAACGCUGGCGGCAGGCUUAACACAUGCAAGUCGAACGAGAUCUUCGGAUCUAGUGGCAGACGGGUGAGGAACACGUGGGAACAUCCCUUUCAGUUCGGAAUAACGUUGGGAAACUAACGCUAAUACCGGAUACGUCCUUCGGGAGAAAGAUUUAUCGCUGAAAGAUUGGCCCGCGUCUGAUUAGCUAGUUGGUGAGGUAAUGGCUCACCAAGGCUACGAUCAGUAGCUGAUCUGAGAGGAUGAUCAGCCACAUUGGGACUGAGACACGGCCCAAACUCCUACGGGAGGCAGCAGUGGGGAAUAUUGGACAAUGGGCGCAAGCCUGAUCCAGCCAUGCCGCGUGAGUGAUGACGGCCUUCGGGUUGUAAAGCUCUUUUGUCCGGGAAGAUAAUGACUGUACCCACAGAAGAAGCCCCGGCUAACUCCGUGCCAGCCGCCGCAGUAA
rnacentral:rRNA from 1 species